GCGAUCAUACCAGCACUAAUGCACCGGAUCCCAUCAGAACUCCGCAGUUAAGCGUGCUUGGGCGACUUGUCUUUAUUUUUGCUAAUGAUUUAUUUGUGGAAGAGCUGUGUUACCAACUCUCAAGGUGGGAUUGUACCUGGUGUUGGCGCUAGAUAUUCCCAACAUUAGUCGGCUGAUAGCAUAUUGGGAAUACCUACUCUCAAGGUGGGAUUGUACCUGGUGUUGGCGCUAGAUUUGUUAAGAACAAUGUUAUUUUCUUGCCUUGUUUGAGGGAAAAGCAUGAUAACCCAUAUAUGGAUGUAGUAAGUUACUUGGCCUUGGUAAAUUUGAAAGUAGGAUAACCUUAUUUUUAAAUAUAUGUAAAUCAGAACAAAGGGUUAUUAUGUUGAAUUAUUACGCACAAUUUGGAUUGUGUAUGGUAGUUUCGGAAUGAAUUAAACCCUACAGAAGGGGUAUCUGCCUGGUAUUGCUGGCAUUUACUUGCA
rnacentral:lncRNA from 1 species